CCCUCCCAUUUUUAUUUGGCCAAAAAGAAAAUUUAUAAACAACAAAAAAUAACUCUCCAAGUCUCUCAAAGGAGAUUUUCUUUGCCCUAAAUCAGAAAUUUUGCAAGGCUUUUUAACUAUGGAUUUUCGCGCAGGGACAGAACAAUGAAGAUGAUGUGCUAAAGUUGUCUCACAUCGAAAGGGUUUUAUUGGAAUAGAGUUUAUCAGGCAAUGUUGCACUAUCUUUUGGUGAAUUCCUGCAUUGUAAGAGGAAUUUGCAAGUGGCGAGGGAGUAUAUCAAAGGGCAAUGGUGUAUGUAUCAGAAUGUAAAGAUAUUACUGACCCACAGUACGUAUCAACUUGUAACAUGAAUUUGGAGGAGACUUUGUAAGGAGCUACUUAUGCUCUACGACAACUUGAUGCUCAUUUUGGGAAUUUUGAUGAUGCUGAGGAAAUACUAACUGCAGUACUAAAGAAAGCAGAAUAGUGCUUUGGUUUGCUACAUCAAUUAAUUCAAACUUCAAGAAAUUCCUUGUUGUAUGCUAUCAUGUAUAUGUUAUUUUAUUAACUUAUAUUUUAUCGUAAUCUGGUGUCUACAUGCUAAAUUCUCUUGGAUACAAGGAUUUUCA